rnacentral:rRNA from 1 species
GGCCAGACUCCUACGGGAGGCAGCAGUGGGGAAUAUUGCACAAUGGGGGAAACCCUGAUGCAGCGACGCCGCGUGAAGGAAGAAGUAUUUCGGUAUGUAAACUUCUCUCAGCAGGGAAGAAAAUGACGGUACCUGACUAAGAAGCCCCGGCUAACUACGUGCCAGCAGCCGCGGUAAUACGUAGGGGGCAAGCGUUAUCCGGAUUUACUGGGUGUAAAGGGAGCGUAGACGGCAUGGCAAGUCAGAUGUGAAAGCCCGGGGCUCAACCCCGGGACUGCAUUUGAAACUGUCAGGCUGGAGUGCAGGAGAGGUAAGUGGAAUUCCUAGUGUAGCGGUGAAAUGCGUAGAUAUUAGGAGGAACACCAGUGGCGAAGGCGGCUUACUGGACUGUAACUGACGUUGAGGCUCGAAAGCGUGGGGAGCAAACAGGAUUAGAUACCCUCGUACG